rnacentral:lncRNA from 1 species
CCAUGCAGGUCCACGAUACCCGUAAUUGUCACUCUGGUUCUUACUGAUCGUCGAAGACAUCUUUCAAGUAGACAUCCGAUCAGAAGCAUACUAGAAGUCACUUAUCCCUUCCCAUUCUCAUUCACUUUCCUUUUCAUUUAGACUUGUACUUGGACUCAUUCACUAGACGCCACCCGUUAUCGGUGUCACACACAAUACACAUUGCACUCAAGUUCUACUUCAAUAACAU